GACGAACGCUGGCGGCGUGCUUAACACAUGCAAGUCGAACGUGAUUUUUGUGGAAAUUCUUUCGGGAAUGGAAAUGAAAUGAAAGUGGCGAACGGGUGAGUAACACGUGAGCAACCUACCUUACACAGGGGGAUAGCCGUUGGAAACGACGAUUAAUACCGCAUGAGACCACAGAAUCGCAUGAUAUAGGGGUCAAAGAUUUAUCGGUGUAAGAAGGGCUCGCGUCUGAUUAGCUAGUUGGAAGGGUAAAGGCCUACCAAGGCGACGAUCAGUAGCCGGUCUGAGAGGAUGAACGGCCACAUUGGAACUGAGACACGGUCCAAACUCCUACGGGAGGCAGCAGUGGGGAAUAUUGCACAAUGGGGGGAACUCUGAUGCAGCGACGCCGCGUGAGCGAAGAAGGUUUUCGAAUCGUAAAGCUCUGUCCUAUGAGAAGAUAAUGACGUAUCAUAG
rnacentral:rRNA from 1 species